UACGGGGGGAGCAAGCGUUGUUCGGACUUACUGGGCGUAAAGGGCGCGUAGGCGGUCAGCACAAGUCAGUUGUGAAAUCUCCGGGCUUAACUCGGAAAGGUCAACUGAUACUGUGCGACUAGAGUGCGGAAGGGGCAACUGGAAUUCUCGGUGUAGCGGUGAAAUGCGUAGAUAUCGAGAGGAACACCUGCGGCGAAGGCGGGUUGCUGGGCCGACACUGACGCUGAUGCGCGAAAGCCAGGGGAGCGAACGGG
rnacentral:rRNA from 1 species